rnacentral:rRNA from 1 species
UACGGAGGGUGCAAGCGUUAUCCGGAUUCACUGGGUUUAAAGGGUGCGUAGGAGGGCAGGUAAGUCAGUGGUGAAAUCUUUGGGCUUAACCCGAAAACUGCCAUUGAUACUAUCUGUCUUGAAUGCGGUGGAGGUGAGCGGAAUAUGUCAUGUAGCGGUGAAAUGCUUAGAUAUGACAUAGAACACCGAUUGCGAAGGCAGCUUACUACAGGAUGAUUGACGCUGAGGCACGAAAGCGUGGGGAGCAAACAGG